UACGGAGGGUGCGAGCGUUGUCCGGAAUCACUGGGCGUAAAGGGCGCGUAGGCGGCGCGGUGAGUCAACGGUGAAAGCUCGGCGCUCAACCCCGGGUCGGCCGUGCCGACUGUUAGACUAGAGUGCUGUAGGGGCAGGCGGAAUUCCGGGUGUAGCGGUGGAAUGCGUAGAGAUCCGGAGGAAGACCGGUGGCGAAGGCGGCCUGCUGGGCAGUUACUGACACUGAGGCGCGACAGCGUGGGGAGCAAACAGG
rnacentral:rRNA from 1 species